rnacentral:rRNA from 1 species
UACGAAGGGGGCUAGCGUUGUUCGGAGUUACUGGGCGUAAAGGGCGCGUAGGCGGCGCACCAAGUCAGGCGUGAAAGCCCUGGGCUCAACCCGGGAAUUGCGCUUGAGACUGGUGUGCUUGAGUACGGGAGAGGAUAGUGGAAUUCCCAGUGUAGAGGUGAAAUUCGUAGAUAUGGGGAGGAACACCGGUGGCGAAGGCGGCCACCUGGACGGUAACUGACGCUGAGACGCGAAAGCGUGGGGAGCAAACAGG